rnacentral:rRNA from 1 species
AUUGAACGCUGGCGGCAGGCCUAACACAUGCAAGUCGAACGAGUGGCGGACGGGUGAGUCAUGUCUGGGAAACUGCCCGAUGGAGGGGGAUACCUCCUGGAAACGGUGGCUAAUCCGGCUUACAAUCGGAUGUCCCCAGUGGGGAUUAGCGAGUGGGUGGGGUAAAGGCUCACCAAGGCAACGAUCCCUAACUGGUCUGAGAGGAGGACCAGCCAACCUGGAAAUGAGACACGGUCAAGACGCCUACGGGAGGCAGCAGGGGGGAAUAUUGCACAAUGGGCGCAAGCCUGAUGCAGCCAUGCCGCGUGUAUGAAGAAGGCCUUCGGAUUGUAAAGUACUUUCAGCGGGGAGGCGUUACUAGCAGAAGAAGCACCGGCUAACUCCGUACCAGCAGCCGCGGUAAUAC